CCUACGGGAGGCAGCAGUGGGGAAUCUUGCCCAAUGGGCGAAAGCCUGAGGCAGCAACGCCGCGUGUGGGAUGACGGCCCUCGGGUUGUAAACCACUUUCAGCAGGGACGAAAAUGACGGUACCUGCAGAAGAAGCUCCGGCCAACUACGUGCCAGCAGCCGCGGUAAUACGUAGGGAGCGAGCGUUGUCCGGAUUUAUUGGGCGUAAAGAGCGCGUAGGCGGCUUGGUAAGCCGGAUGUGAAACCCCCGAGCUCAACUCGGGGCGGCCAUUCGGAACUGCCAUGGCUAGAGUCUGGUAGGGGAACACGGAAUACCUGGUGUAGCGGUGAAAUGCUUAGAUAUCAGGUGGAACACCAGUGGCGAAGGCGGUGUUCUGGGCCAGUACUGACGCUGAGGCGCGAAAGCGUGGGGAGCGAACAGGAUUAGAUACCCCAGUAGU
rnacentral:rRNA from 1 species